rnacentral:rRNA from 1 species
AGGCCCUUCGGGGUACUCGAGCGGCGAACGGGUGAGUAACACGUGAGCAAUCUGCCCCUAGCUCUGGGAUAGCUCCGGGAAACCGGGAUUAAUACCAGAUACGACCACUAUAGACAUCUGCUGUGGUGGAAAGAACUUCGGCUAGGGAUGAGCUCGCGGCCUAUCAGCUUGUUGGUGGGGUAACGGCCUACCAAGGCGACGACGGGUAGCCGGCCUGAGAGGGCGACCGGCCACACUGGGACUGAGACACGGCCCAGACUCCUACGGGAGGCAGCAGUGGGGAAUAUUGCGCAAUGGGCGAAAGCCUGACGCAGCGACGCCGCGUGGGGGAUGAAGGCCUUCGGGUUGUAAACCCCUUUCAGCAGGGACGAAGCGAAGGUGACGGUACCUGCAGAAGAAGCGCCGGCUAACUACGUGCCAGCAGCCGCGGUAACACGUAGGGCGCAAGCGUUGUCCGGAAUUAUUGGGCGUAAAGAGCUCGUAGGCGGUCUGUUGCGUCCGCUGUGAAAUCUCGGGGCUUAACCCCGAGCCUGCAGUGGAUACGGGCAGACUAGAGGUAGGUAGGGGAGAAUGGAAUUCCCGGUGUAGCGGUGA